UGGGGAAUAUUGGACAAUGGGCGCAAGCCUGAUCCAGCCAUGCCGCGUGAGUGAUGAAGGCCCUAGGGUUGUAAAGCUCUUUCACCGGUGAAGAUAAUGACGGUAACCGGAGAAGAAGCCCCGGCUAACUUCGUGCCAGCAGCCGCGGUAAUACGAAGGGGGCUAGCGUUGUUCGGAUUUACUGGGCGUAAAGCGCACGUAGGCGGACUUUUAAGUCAGGGGUGAAAUCCCGGGGCACAACCCCGGAACUGCCUUUGAUACUGGAAGUCUUGAGUAUGGUAGAGGUGAGUGGAAUUCCGAGUGUAGAGGUGAAAUUCGUAGAUAUUCGGAGGAACACCAGUGGCGAAGGCGGCUCACUGGACCAUUACUGACGCUGAGGUGCGAAAGCGUGGGGAGCAAACAGG
rnacentral:rRNA from 1 species